GACGAACGCUGGCGGCACGCUUAACACAUGCAAGUCGAACGGUGAAGAGAGAGCUUGCUCUCUCAGAACAGUGGCGGACGGGUGAGUAACACGUGAGCAACCUGCCUUUAAGAGGGGGAUAACGUUUGGAAACGAACGCUAAUACCGCAUAAUAUAGAUGUACCGCAUGAUAUGUCUAUCAAAGAUUUAUCGCUUAAAGAUGGGCUCGCGUCUGAUUAGCUAGUUGGUGAGGUAACGGCUCACCAAGGCGACGAUCAGUAGCCGUACUGAGAGGUAGAACGGCCACAUUGGGACUGAGACACGGCCCAG
rnacentral:rRNA from 1 species